rnacentral:rRNA from 1 species
GAGUUUGAUCCUGGCUCAGAUUGAACGCUGGCGGCAGGCCUAACACAUGCAAGUCGAGCGGUAGAGAGAAGCUUGCUUCUCUUGAGAGCGGCGGACGGGUGAGUAAUGCCUAGGAAUCUGCCUGGUAGCGGGGGAUAACGCUCGGAAACGGACGCUAAUACCGCAUACGUCCUACGGGAGAAAGCAGGGGACCUUCGGGCCUUGCGCUAUCAGAUGAGCCUAGGUCGGAUUAGCUAGUUGGUGAGGUAAUGGCUCACCAAGGCGACGAUCCGUAACUGGUCUGAGAGGAUGAUCAGUCACACUGGAACUGAGACACGGUCCAGACUCCUACGGGAGGCAGCAGUGGGGAAUAUUGGACAAUGGGCGAAAGCCUGAUCCAGCCAUGCCGCGUGUGUGAAGAAGGUCUUCGGAUUGUAAAGCACUUUAAGUUGGGAGGAAGGCAGUAAAUUAAUACUUUGCUGUUUGACGUUACCGACAGAAUAAGCACCGGCUAACUCUGUG